rnacentral:rRNA from 1 species
CGGAACGUACCUAGUAAUGGGGGAUAACUAUCCGAAAGGAUAGCUAAUACCGCAUACGCCCUGAGGGGGAAAGAGGGGGAUCGCAAGACCUCUCGUUAUUAGAGCGGCCGAUAUCAGAUUAGCUAGUUGGUGAGGUAAAGGCUCACCAAGGCAACGAUCUGUAGCGGGUCUUAGAGGACGAUCCGCCACACUGGAACUGAGACACGGUCCAGACUCCUACGGGAGGCAGCAGUGGGGAAUCUUGGACAAUGGGCGCAAGCCUGAUCCAGCAAUGCCGCGUGCGUGAAGAAGGCCUUCGGGUUGUAAAGCGCUUUUGUUCGGGAGGAAAUCCUAGUGGCUAAUAUCCAUUGGGGAUGACAGUACCGGAAGAAUAAGGACCGGCUAACUACGUGCCAGCAGCCGCGGUAAUACGUAGGGUCCAAGCGUUAAUCGGAAUUACUGGGCGUAAAGGGUGCGCAGGUGGUUGAUUAAGUGUGAUGUGAAAGCCCCGGGCUCAACCUGGGAAUUGCAUUGCAAACUGAUCAACUAGAGUAUGGCAGAGGGGGGUGGAAUUCCGCGUGUAGCAGUGAAAUGCGUAGAGAUGCGGAGGAACACCGAUGGCGAAGGCAACCCCCUGGGCUAAUACUGACACUCAUGCACGAAAGCGUGGGGAGCAAACAGGAUUAGAUACCCUGGUAGUCCACGCCCUAAACGAUGUCUACUAGUUGUUGG